rnacentral:rRNA from 1 species
AACGAACGCUGGCGGCAUGCCUAACACAUGCAAGUCGAACGAUUGCCUUCGGGUGAUAGUGGCGCACGGGUGCGUAACGCGUGGGAAUCUGCCCUUAGGUUCGGAAUAACAGCUGGAAACGGCUGCUAAUACCGGAUGAUAUCGCGAGAUCAAAGAUUUAUCGCCUGAGGAUGAGCCCGCGUUGGAUUAGGUAGUUGGUGGGGUAAAGGCCUACCAAGCCGACGAUCCAUAGCUGGUCUGAGAGGAUGAUCAGCCACACUGGGACUGAGACACGGCCCAGACUCCUACGGGAGGCAGCAGUGGGGAAUAUUGGACAAUGGGCGCAAGCCUGAUCCAGCGAUGCCGCGUGAGUGAUGAAGGCCCUAGGGUUGUAAAGCUCUUUUACCCGGGAAGAUAAUGACUGUACCGGGAGAAUAAGCCCCGGCUAACUCCGUG